CCUACGGGAGGCAGCAGUGAGGAAUAUUGGACAAUGGACGAGAGUCUGAACCAGCCAAGUAGCGUGAAGGAUGACUGCCCUAUGGGUUGUAAACUUCUUUUAUAAAGGAAUAAAACGAGGCAAGUGUGCCUUUUUGCAUGUACUUUAUGAAUAAGGAUCGGAUAACUCCGUGCCAGCAGCCGCGGUAAUACGGAGGAUGCGAGCGUUAUCCGGAUUUAUUGGGUUUAAAGGGAGCGUAGGUGGGUUGUUAAGUCAGUUGUGAAAGUUUGCGGCUCAACCGUAAAAUUGCAAUUGAUACUGGCAGUCUAGAGUACAGUUGAGGUAGGCGGAAUUCGUGGUGUAGCGGUGAAAUGCUUAGAUAUCACGAAGAACCCCGAUUGCGAAGGCAGCUUACUAAACUGUGACUGACAUUGAUGCUCGAAAGUGUGGGUAUCAAACAGGAUUAGAUACCCGAGUAGUC
rnacentral:rRNA from 1 species